GGGUGGCCUAGUGGUUGGAGCGUCCGCCUCGGAUGCUGAAGGUUUCUGGUUCGAAUUCCGGUCUGGUCA